rnacentral:rRNA from 1 species
AUUGAACGCUGGCGGCAUGCUUUACACAUGCAAGUCGAACGGCAGCGCGGGCUUCAGCCUGGCGGCGAGUGGCGAACGGGUGAGUAAUGCAUCGGAACGUGCCCAGUAGUGGGGGAUAGCCCGGCGAACGCCGGAUUAAUACCGCAUACGACCUGAGGGUGAAAGCGGGGGACCGAAAGGCCUCGCGCUAUUGGAGCGGCCGAUGUCGGAUUAGCUAGUUGGUGGGGUAAAGGCUUACCAAGGCGACGAUCCGUAGCUGGUCUGAGAGGACGACCAGCCACACUGGGACUGAGACACGGCCCAGACUCCUACGGGAGGCAGCAGUGGGGAAUUUUGGACAAUGGGGGCAACCCUGAUCCAGCCAUGCCGCGUGCGGGAAGAAGGCCUUCGGGUUGUAAACCGCUUUUGUUCGGGAAGAAAUCCUCUGGGCUAAUACCCCGGGGGGAUGACGGUACCGGAAGAAUAAGCACCGGCUAACUACGUG